rnacentral:rRNA from 1 species
GAUGAACGCUGGCGGCGUGCCUAAUACAUGCAAGUCGAACGAAACUUCUUUAUCACCGAGUGUUUGCACUCACCGAUAAAGAGUUGAGUGGCGAACGGGUGAGUAACAUGUGGGCAACCUGCCCAUAAGAGGGGGAUAACACUUGGAAACAGGUGCUAAUACCGCAUAACCAUAGUUACUGAAUGGCAACUAUGUAAAAGGUGGCUAUUCUACCGCUUUUGGAUGGGCCCGCGGCGCAUUAGCUAGUUGGUAGGGUAAAGGCUUACCAAGGCAAUGAUGCGUAGCCGAAUUGAGAGGUUGAUCGGCCACAUUGGGACUGAGACACGGCCCAAACUCCUACGGGAGGCAGCAGUAGGGAAUCUUCCACAAUGGGCGAAAGCCUGAUGGAGCAACGCCGCGUGGGUGAAGAAGGUCUUCGGAUCGUAAAACCCUGUUGUUAGAGAAGAAAGUACGUGAGAGUAACUGUUCACGUUUCGACGGUAUCUAACCAGAAAGCCACGGCUAACUACGUG